rnacentral:misc_RNA from 1 species
CAGAGAACAUCGCCCUCACGGGUGACUCUCCAACCCUAUGUUAUUAAAACCUUUGUUGCUUUGGCGAGCCGCUUCGGCCACCGGCCUUGUGCUGGUGUGCGCUCGCCAGAGGACCACAAACUCUGUUUAUUAAUGUCGUCUGAGUACUAUAUAAUAGUUA